UUCGGUUACAUCGGUGACAGGUGGUGGCAUGGUUGUCGUCAGCUCGUGUCGUGAGAUGUUGGUUAAGUCCCGCAACGAGCGCAACCCCUAUUGUUAGUUGCCAUCAUUCAGUUGGGCACUCUAGCGAGACUGCCGGUAAUAAACCGGAGGAAGGUGGGGAUGACGUCAAAUCAUCAUGCCCCUUAUGACCUGGGCUACACACGUGCUACAAUGGUUGGUACAACGAGUUGCGAGUCGGUGACGGCGAGCUAAUCUCUUAAAGCCAAUCUCAGUUCGGAUUGUAGGCUGCAACUCGCCUACAUGAAGUCGGAAUCGCUAGUAAUCGCGGAUCAGCACGCCGCGGUGAAUACGUUCCCGGGCCUU
rnacentral:rRNA from 1 species